rnacentral:rRNA from 1 species
ACGCUCGACACCUACAGGAGGCAGCAGUGGGGAAUAUUGCACAAUGGGGGAAACCCUGAUGCAGCGACGCCGCGUGAGCGAAGAAGUAUCUCGGUAUGUAAAGCUCUAUCAGCAGGGAAGAAGAUGACGGUACCUGACUAAGAAGCACCGGCUAAAUACGUGCCGGCAGCCGCGGUAAUCUGAGCGGGCUGGCAAGGC